CAAUGAGUGUUUAAUGGCACUCUAAAUCCAUUACCCACCUUGUGUGCAAUGUCGGGGAGAACACCCCACUCACUCUUCUGAGAGGGAGGGAUCAUGUUCUUCUUUUCAUACAUACCAACUUUCAGUAUCAGUCUACAUCUAUUUAGAGUAUAAAAAACUCGAAAUA
rnacentral:misc_RNA from 1 species